ensembl:lncRNA
GUGUGAUUUGUUAAACAAGCUCUUCCAUUGGUUUUGGAAAAGGUUGGCAUGUUUCUUGGCACUAAUGGUGUGUUUAAUGGAUUUCUGUCCACAGUUUGGCUUUGAUAUCAAUCAACUAGGUUUCAUUUAGCAUCUAACCAAAUAUAUGAAUCAGGUGGUUUUGUGUUUUGUAAAGUACUGUCUGUGAGUAGUUUGUGGUUAUGUUUCUUUUAUCUGCCCAGUUGCUAUAUUCAUUUACUCUUGAUUUUUUUAACGGAAAUCCAAGACCCCCUUUAGAGGUUAGACUGAGUAAUUACUCUGGAUUUGUAAUCUCUGUUUACCUGCUGUUGAUGGAUUUGAUUAAAUACAAGAGUCAUUGCUUUCCUGUUCACUUUCAAAUAGUUAUUUGUCUAAGUCGACUGGUAAGUUUACAACUUGUAUGUGAAUCAGUAGUCCUUGUUCUCUAAAUCAUUACUCCUCUUCCUUUUUACAGGGAAAACUUUGUGUUUUGUUUCAGAGUUUGAAAUUGCCUAUGAUCUCUAUUGUUUUUGUUUUUGUCUUUCUUUGCAGUAGAGUGCAGCACUGAGUUUCCUUUUCCUUUUGUCCUGUUUAAAAAUAAUAAAAGCUGAGAUAAAACCAAUGACGUGUAUUCUUUGUAUAUUUGGUCAUAUAUAUAUAUAUAUAUUAGUACAAAGAAAAAAGAAGAAAUGAAAAUGAAAAGAAAUGAAAGAAAAAUAAGUUCCAUAAGUGCUUUAAAUAAAGUCAUUUAAACGUCAGGGCUGCAGAUAAAUUCAGAGAAUGAAAUCAUUAGGGAAACCACUCACUAAGCAUUAAAACACAAAAACAGACAUGUCUGCUGAACUUCCUGUGCAUUGGGUGGAGCUCUCUGGAGAUGAAAAGAGAGUGAUAGUAGCGAGUGAGUGCAGCACAAGCAACGAUUUGAGGAGAGCUGUGUAACUUGUCUUGGAUAUUUAAAGACGUUUAAUAAGCGCACCAUGAGAGCCUGCCUAUUUCUCUGGAUUUUAUGGGAUCAGACUUUAGGUGAGUUGUGCUCCUGUAGAAGGUAUUCUCUGCUCAUCUAUACCAUCACAGUAGGAGUGAAUCUGCUCCUACUCUCGGCCAUCGCUCUCUUUGUGACACAUUAUAAAAAGCCACAUGCUCAGCCAGAGCGUCAAACCACAGUUCCAAUUUAUGAAGACAUGUCAAGUGUGAAAGGAAAAGGAAGCAGUCCUCGGAUCUGUCCACCAGACCCCGAAACAUCUGCUCCAGGGUGGAAGACUAUGCUGGAGAACCUCUAUGGAUCCCCCAAUCGGACAAAUGUGGAACAGCAUCAGGAAAAAGAAUCGUCAUAAAAUUCAGCUUAGUUGUGAAUUAAGCUAUGCAGUGUAUUCAUUUCCAGGGUCAUGCUAAAGUUUAUAAGGAAUAGUGCCAUUUGAUGUUUUGGUAUUAUAGAGACUCCUGAGACCCUCACAGAAACCUCUCCUGCCUCGUUCUUUUCAGAAACCGAGAAACAAAAUAAUUGCAACACCGUAAAUGAUGAAAGCAGAAUUAACAUACAGUUUCAUGUUAAAAUAUUAACAUAGUUACAUGUUAUAAUUUUAUAUGCUGAGCCUGGUAAUCUCCAGUCUCAUCCUGCACCGUUAGCUGAACAGUAGAUUAACAUUGGUGGACUUGAACUUGGACUGCGUAUUUGAAACAACAUAGCUACCUUCUGAUGUUCAUUCAUGUUUAUUCCAUGCUAUAAAUAGUAGUAAAAUAUUAAGAGAUAAUCGGUUCAGGUGCCGUUUGAACUGAGGCGCUACAGUGAUCCGUCACAACACAUUAAAGAGCCACAAAACGGUAUUUAUUGUUUGAAUU